rnacentral:rRNA from 1 species
CACGUAGGGCGCAAGCGUUGUCCGGAAUUAUUGGGCGUAAAGAGCUCGUAGGUGGUUUGUUACGUCUGCUGUGAAAACCUAGGGCUUAACCCUGGGCUUGCAGUGGAUACGGGCAGACUAGAGGUAGGCAGGGGAGAAUGGAAUUCCUGGUGUAGCGGUGAAAUGCGCAGAUAUCAGGAGGAACACCGGUGGCGAAGGCGGUUCUCUGGGCCUUACCUGACACUGAGGAGCGAAAGCGUGGGGAGCGAACAGG